UUUAGGGGUAUCCCAAUAUCACUCUCUAGGGGUGACUCAGAGCAGGGGAAGGAGUUACCCCUAAAAAGUAUGUUAGAAUGAUUUUAUCGCAUCAUAUCCUUUUUUAUGUAAUUAGUUGAUAAAAUCUAUCUGUACUUAUAUUUAACGACUGAAAUCGGUCACUUACUGAAAAAACAUCU
rfam:Enterococcus faecalis V583, complete genome.